rnacentral:rRNA from 1 species
UACGUAGGGCGCAAGCGUUGUCCGGAAUUAUUGGGCGUAAAGAGCUCGUAGGCGGCCUGUUACGUCUGCUGUGAAAUCCCGGGGCUUAACCCCGGGCGUGCAGUGGAUACGGGCAGGCUGGAGGCAGGCAGGGGAGAACGGAAUUCCCGGUGGUAGCGGUGGAAAUGCGCAGAUAUCGGGAGGAACACCGGUGGCGAAGGCGGUUCUCUGG